ACAAACUUGGGGUCAUUUUAUAGUAUGGAAAUUUAGUACUAUGAUAUUUUCUUUACAUGUGCAGACAUCAGAGUUAUGUCAUGUCUUGUUGUAUUAUCUUUUACAUAUGAUCUCAUAUCCUUCCGAUAUAUUACUUGAACUGAAGCCAAAGCUUCUUGCAGAACAUCGUGGCAUUCCUGCUGGUUAUUCCGUUGAUUUCACCACUGUACAUAUUAGCUGUCACCUGAGCAGAUUUCUUAGGAUUGAUCACUUCCAGGGGG
rnacentral:lncRNA from 1 species